AGAGUUUGAUCAUGGCUCAGGAUGAACGCUGGCGGCGUGCCUAAUACAUGCAAGUCGAACGAAGUCUUCGGACUUAGUGGCGAACGGGUGAGUAACACGUUGGUACCUACCCCUAAGUGGGGAAUAACUGCCCGAAAGGGUGGCUAAUACCGCAUAAUCCCGCAAGGGUAAAGCAGUAAUGCGCUUAGGGAGGGGCCUGCGUCUGAUUAGCUAGUUGGUAGUGUAAUGGACUACCAAGGCGACGAUCAGUAGCUGGAUCGAGAGGUUGACCAGCCACACUGGGACUGAGAUACGGCCCAGACUCCUACGGGAGGCAGCAGUAAGGAAUCUUCCACAAUGGACGAAAGUCUGAUGGAGCAACGCCGCGUGCAGGAUGACGGCCUUCGGGUUGUAAACUGCUUUUAUAUGGGAAGAUUAUGACGGUACCAUAUGAAUAAGGACCGGCUAACUACGUGCCAGCAGCCGCGGUAAUACGUAGGGUCCAAGCGUUAUCCGGAAUCACUGGGCGUAAAGCGUGCGUAGGUGGCGUGUUAAGUGUGGUGUUAAAUCGUGGGGCUCAACCCUGUCGAUGCAUCGCAUACUGGCAUGCUAGAGGGAAGCAGAGGCAAGUGGAAUUUGUAGUGUAGCAGUGAAAUGCGUAGAUAUUACAAGGAACACCAAUGGCGAAGGCGCUUGCUGGGCUUCUUCUGACACUGAGGUACGAAAGCGUGGGGAGCAAACAGGAUUAGAUACCCUAGUAGUCC
rnacentral:rRNA from 1 species